AGUGGCGGACGGGUGAGUAACGCGUGAGAAUCUGCCUAUGGGAGGGGCACAACAGUUGGAAACGACUGCUAAUUCCCCAUAAUCCGCAAGGUGAAAAGAAAUUCGCCCAUAGAUGAGCUCGCGUCCGAUUAGCUAGUUGGUGGGGUAAAGGCCUACCAAGGCUUCGAUCGGUAGCUGGUCUGAGAGGAUGAGCAGCCACACUGGGACUGAGACACGGCCCAGACUCCUACGGGAGGCAGCAGUGGGGAAUUUUCCGCAAUGGGCGUAAGCCUGACGGAGCAAUACCGCGUGAGGGAAGAAGGCCUUUGGGUUGUAAACCUCUUUUCUCAGGGAAGAACAAAUGACGGUACCUGAGGAAUAAGCAUCGGCUAACUCCGUGCCAGCAGCCGCGGUAAUACGGAGGAUGCAAGCGUUGUCCGGAAUCAUUGGGCGUAAAGCGUCCGCAGGUGGCACUUCAAGUCUGUAGUCAAAGACCACAGCUUAACUGUGGAAAGGCUAUGGAAACUGUAGUGCUAGAGAAUGGUAGGGGUAGAGGGAAUUCCCAGUGUAGCGGUGAAAUGCGUAGAGAUUGGGAAGAACACCAGUGGCGAAAGCGCUCUACUGGGCCAUUACUGACACUCAGGGACGAAAGCUAGGGGAGCGAAAGGGAUUAGAUACCCCNGUAGUCC
rnacentral:rRNA from 1 species